AACGAACGCUGGCGGCGUGGAUUAGGCAUGCAAGUCGAACGCGAAAGAGGGGGCAACUCCUCGAGUAGAGUGGCGAACGGGUGAGUAACGCGUGAAGAACCUGCCUUCGAGAGGGGGAUAACACUCCUAACGGGGUGCUAAUACCGAAUGACACGGUCGGGUCGCAUGGCCUGGCCGUUAAAGCUGGCCUCUGCUUGCAAGCUGGCGCUUGAGGAUGAUCCCGCGUCCCAUUAGCUAGUUGGUAGGGUAACGGCUUACCAAGGCUACGAUGGGUAGCUGGUCUGAGAGGAUGGUCAGCCACACUGGGACUGAGAUACGGCCCAGACUCCUACGGGAGGCAG
rnacentral:rRNA from 1 species